rnacentral:rRNA from 1 species
UACGUAGGGGGCAAGCGUUGUCCGGAUUCAUUGGGCGUAAAGAGCUCGUAGGCGGUGUGUCGCGUCGGCCGUGAAAACCUGGGGCUCAACUCUGGGCGUGCGGUCGAUACGGGCAUCACUUGAGUUCGGCAGGGGAGACUGGAAUUCCUGGUGUAGCGGUGAAAUGCGCAGAUAUCAGGAGGAACACCGGUGGCGAAGGCGGGUCUCUGGGCCGAUACUGACGCUGAGGAGCGAAAGCAUGGGUAGCGAACAGG